CAUCCACUUUAGGGGUGUUUAGUUUUUAUUUGGGGCCUCCCGCCUGCGGCGGGCGCUACGUUGCGGGGCUCGCAGGUCUGCUCGGCCCUUCAGCGCUUGCAGCGCUUCGGUCUGGCCUACGGCCACCCCUCCACAUCGCUAGGCCAAUAACGCCCAGCCAUUAAGCAAAAACUAAACUGAGAAUAGACCCUUAUCACCUGAUGCAGCUCGUACUGCCGUAGGGAAAAGUGCCGUCCUCUUG
rnacentral:ncRNA from 1 species